rnacentral:lncRNA from 1 species
CAAAAAUCCGAAGCUAGUGUUUUAUUAAACACGCGUUACUAUAUUACAAAUUUAGAAUUCCCAACACUGAGGGAUCUCCUUGUAUAUCCACCAAAUCUUCUAUUCCUACUUCUUUAUACCUAUCUGCCAACACCCCAUAGAAAUUGGGAAAGAAAGGGAAAUAAAAGAAAAAGGAUAUGAAAUGUGUGGGGCUGUGCAAAAUCUGCAACAGCCUCCAACUCCCUCCAAUCCCCUUUUCCCUACACCCUACCACCUAUUCCUUAGCACACUUAUUCCCCCAAUCCCCUUCACUCUACCUCUUGUAUCUAUUCUCUAGCACACUCAAAUGUGCAGGCAACAUUCCUCAUUUUGGCCUCAAACUUCAUCCAGCAAAUCACUUUCAUUAUCUUCCAUUCCACACAUAGAAUCCACCGAAGGGUAAGCUGCAUUCACUGUUCUGCCAAAACUCAAGGGGUAAGCUUCGCUUUAACUCUUUUCCUUUCAGUCAUUAGUUUCACCUGCAUUAACACAAAGAGCAACAACCUUGAAUAUUUCAGAUUCUCCCAAUCCAUUUAAUCCAACAACACCAGACAGCCAACAAAGCAAACACUCAAGGUAUUAUUCCUAUUUCAUACUCAAUUUAGCCGCACUCAUAACCGGUACAUGGUCAGUUAAGAAACACCAUAAAUAGGAGAAUAAGCAUGAUAGACAAACAAUACCAAUGUAUAGUAUGAGGAUGUACAUAAGUCAGUUUACUUCCAUCAAGAACCAACAACAGCCUAUGACCUUUAUACGAGCUAAAUGCAGUAAGGAUUUCCUUGAUACAACAGCAAGUUCAGUGCUUAGUGCAAUUUAUUGCAUAAUCCUUAUAUGAAAACCAAGACUUCACUGUAGAACUAUAGAUUGACUUAGCUUUUAGAGAGGGCGGGGGCUACUGCCCUGUUUGUUUGGGCCGAAGGACGUGAGUGGGCGGCAACUCGCGGGGACAGCAGCGUCGGCGGCGUCGAGCUGUGAAAGGCAGACAACUCCCGACCUCGGCGAUGGCCCUCGCCGAUUCUGGAUUGCAGCAGCAGCGGAGUACCCUUCGCCCGAAUCCAGCAGCAGCGUGGCGAGGCUCGAACCGUCGACCCCGGGGAAAACGGCAACGGCGGAGCUUUCCCUACUCGCUGGAGAAACGCAACGGCUGCGGCGAGAUUGAGAGUGCGCCGAGAAUAACUAGGGCUCGACCUCUGCCUCGGCUGUGUGUGUGCGUGUUUCCGGAGCUUCCAGAGGAGAAUUAGGGCUCAAAUUUUAGUGGCCUCCCCUAAAUCUGCGAGACAGCAGCAGAAGCUUGUGCCGGCGACGCGAAGGCGCCGGAUCUCAAGGGGUGGCGGCGGCGAUUUUGGAUUUUGGGAAAUUAGGGCUCCUCAUUUGGGGAUCCCCCAUUAAAUUGAGGAAGGAGGGAGGACGAACGAAGACGGCGGCCUCAGAGACGCAGACGACGGCCGUUCGCCGGACACCCAGUUGCAGCGGCGACGACGACCUUCAAUUUGUGAGUUAGGGCUCGAUUAAGACCUUCAAUUCGUGAGUUAGGGCUGACGAUAUGAAUUGAGGAAGAAACGAGACGAAGGGAGGAGGCUCGGCUGGCCGUCGUCCUCGCCGGAGCAGUUCGCGGCGGAGCUCGCGAAGAGAAAGGACGGGCGAGAGAGAGAGAGAGAGGUCUUGAGCGGCGUCUGAAUUUGAAGAGAGUGAGAGAGAACCGAUUGUAGAGGGGGAGGAUUUGGG